UUACAGUCGCACAUAAACGUGACAGACAGCUGAUUAGUAGGUCUCCAAGCCAGUGCUGUGUCUUGGUCAUUGCUUCCCUCCUCGGAUGCAUCAGAAAGUGGGCAUUCAACUUCUCAGCUAGCCCUGAGGAAGGAUGGAGCUCACUGGGCAGAAAGGAGGGGGAAGAGUAUUGCACUCAUCAAGGACAU